UACGUAGGGGGCAAGCGUUGCCCGGAAUCAUUGGGCGUAAAGAGCGUGUAGGCGGCCCGAUAAGUCCGCUGUGAAAGUCCAGGGCUCAACCCUGGAAUGCCGGUGGAUACUGUCGGGCUCGAAUCCGGAAGAGGUGAGUGGAAUUCCUGGUGUAGCGGUGAAAUGCGCAGAUAUCAGGAGGAACACCUAUUGCGAAGGCAGCUCGCUGGGACGUAACUGACGCUGAGACGCGAAAGCGUGGGGAGCAAACAGG
rnacentral:rRNA from 1 species